UAAGGAGAAUGUUUUGGAGCUGCAGGAUUUGCCGGCCUUGAAGGCACUGACCACCCAGUUCUCUUCUCUGGCUCUUAUUUCACUCUUUAUGAUUCACAUUCACUUUUAGUCCUCACCCUUAAAUGCUUGAGUCUUAUUGAAAGACAGAUGGUGCCACACCUUUCACUGUGCUUCUUAGUUGGAAUGGAGCCCAAUCACGCAGGAGGAUCACCACACAUAUCCUAUAGGUUAUGAAGCACCAUUAACUUCAAUGGAGAUUCUCGGCUUGCGACGAGAGGAGAUAAUGCCUUCAUGGGUGACCCGACAAGUUUAUUUGGAUUGCUACAUAUUUGUGCUUAAAGUGAGGUGCAA